AGAGCUCCUCCUCCUUUAGCCUGUCAUUGAAAUCUGGACUAUAAACACAUUUUGGGACUGGCUUCGCUCUGAACACUUUGGUUUUAUUUUCAGACCUCCUGCGCUCCUCGUUCUGCUGCACGAUGUCGUGGUAGAGCGGCAGGAAAACGGCGGCGGGCACGGGAUUGGCUCGGAAUUUUUUCUGACACUCUGCUUCCUCCUCCAGCUGCUUCUUCACUGCCUGCAGAGAAUUUGGGAAUCUUCAGCUAAAAAGUGCUCCCAAACUUACCUACAGCACUUUGGAGAGGCAUCAUUGCUCUUAUCCAAGCAAUGACCAAAUGCAGUCGGAAUUAUGGGAUCGAAGCAGCGAAUUUAAAGAACCUCUAGCACCUUCCACCUCCCUGAAUGUGCCGCUGCCACCAGCGUGUAUAAACCCAGUUUCUUUUCUGGAUCGCCGGAAGGACCCCGGUCCCUUUCCCGGUCCCUUUCCCGGUCCAUUCCUCCAUCUGCCGCGGUGCCACAAGCUCAUUAGAGGAUCUGCAGCAGGGCCAUCUGUCAGGUGUCCCCGGUGUGUGUGCGUGUCCCUGGUGCCGCAGGGAGGCCGGGGGAGCCGGAGACCCCUCUGCGGAUGGGCUCCGGGUGCGGCCGCCGGCCCCGCGGCCCCGCGUUCCCUCCCCCCAGCCCCUCCCGGCCGUGCCCGCGGUACCUGCGCGGCUGCGGGCGGCGCUCCCCGCUCGUAGAGCGCGGCGGGGGCCCGUGUGCGGGGGUCGAGCGGCGUGCGGAGGCAGGAGGCGGCCAGGAGGGCGGCCCGGUGCGCCUCCUCCAUGCCGGGCAUCCCGGGCAUCCCGCGGGGCCGGGAGCGCAGCAGGGCCGGGGGCGGCUCCAGCUCCGCCCCCGCGGAGGCGGCCCCGGGGCGCGUUAACCGCCCGGCCCGAGCCGCCCCAGCCGGGCACGGCUGAGCCCAGCUGCUCCCCUCCCGCAGCCCCUGCGGGCUUUGGGGUAACUUUUUGCAGCGUUUUAGUCGGAACCUCCAAGUCUCGCUGGCGAGACCACGUUUUUUCCAACCUCAAGUUAUUAAAAGUUUCUGCCAUCCUGAAGCUUGUACUUCAGGUAAGGGCAAGGCUAAACCGGGGUAAGCAGGAACAUUCUGUCCUAGGAAUAUUCUAUCCUAAACCAGGAUAAACAGCAAUAUUCUGUCCUAGGAAUAUUCUAUCCUAAACCAGGAUAAACAGGAAAGUUCUGCUUCUACAAAGAGGCAUUAAUGCUGGAUGAACCUAUUUACUGUAGUAAAAUUACAAAUACUUUUUGUGAUGAAAUCACACAGGAUAGUUGUCGUUUUUGUCAAGAAUUGUAGCUCUGUGAUAAUGGGGGAUGAAAGCUUUAAUCAUAGUACCUGAACUCAGAGAUCAUUGUUGGAUGUGACCCUGUGGGGGUAAGGCACCAUUUGCAAUUUUAAACAAUCAAUGAAUUGAUGCAGAGCAUUAGUGCCUUAAAUCAAUUGUCUAAUUUAUAAAUUAGUAGUUGAGUUAUUCUGUUUGUUCUGCUUAGCAAGUUACAACAGCAGCAUGGUGGAAAUUUACUCAAAAGCUCCAGCUCCAACCAAUCGUGAAUGGAAAUGUGAGAAGAAAUGGAAGCAACACUCUCCUUUAAACAUUAAGAGGAAUGAGGUUGUUUCAGUAUAGCAAAAACAGAGAUGAAAGGGUUAAUUCAAAAUGUCAGGCUAAGAAUUAGAAGUUGGGAAGCUAAUUUGCAUUAUUAAAUUACUUUUGACUUCUCAGCCAGCUUUGGGAAAACCCAUUUAUUCUGGGAGCAGGGGGAAGAAACCGUGAACACCCUUUGUAGGGCUCUGGAUCAUGUGAUGACAUCAGGAAUCCCUGCAGACAUCAGGAGAGCAAGGAAUGUGAUGUGCUCCCACUGCAAAGAUCCUCCUCACCUCUAGCCUGGCAGCACUGAGGACGGCAACACCACUGCCUCAGGGAAAGCUUUGGGAGAAGCAGCUCCAGGGGUGUUUUUGGAAUGUAUCAGAGAUGAUUGGCUGCCUUAGACUUUUUAGCCAUGGAGUAAAGCCAAUAUACCAAAAUGUAAAAAAUUCAAACAAAAUUAUACAGCAAAGAGUCAGGUAGACUACUGCAUGUUUAUUGAUAAAACAGCAUUUUCUUUUUGAAAACAAACUGUUUGUAGAGUUAAACCUGAUCAAAGUACAUCAGUCUUGGUGGAGCUUAA